rnacentral:pre_miRNA from 15 species
AAAAAUGCAUCCUUUGAAGGUUUUGGGCUGCGUGUCAGGAGUGCAUUUGCACUGAAACAUUCUGAAGCUUGUAAAUGCACUAUCUGGUACGACAUUCCAGAACGUACAAUCUUCCCGAAUGCAA